GGUUGAUCAGUCCCAGUCUUGGCCUUGGUGAGCUGGAACAAAGUUGAGUAGAAAGAGCAGGCCUGGGUACAAAUCCCGUCUCUGUCCCUUUGCCUCUUGGAACCUGAAUUUGUUUCCUUGCAUAAUGAGGAUAGAGCCUUCACUGUUGGCUGCCUGGGAGAACAGGAGGGUGGAUUGGAAAAGCAUCAAGCACAGAGCCAGGCACAUAGGAAGUACUCAAUAUACAGUAGUGGCUCUUAUCCUGGCAUAUUAAUUAAGGCUGCCAGGCUGUGAUGGGUGUGGCUUGGGGGCACAGAGGUGCUUAAUAAUCUCUCUGAAAGACCGCUAAGAGAUUUCUUUGGAAUUCUUAGACAAGGUGCCUGCUUUCUGAAACAGGGCAACACCAGAGCACUGGGGCUCAGCCAGUCAUGAGCCAGUUAAGCAGAGAGGGAUGGACACAAGUGGUUGUGCUAGCCCUACCCUCAGGGGCCCUUGCGGGCAUGGGAAGUGAGGCUGAGGGUGUCAGGGGUCACUGGUGGCCACACUGGCUCUGAAGCACCAGCAGUUCAUUUUAUAAAUCUUCCUGCCCAGGUCUGGGGCCCUUGCUGGUAAAGGGAGGGGAGCAAGCAAGAGGAUCUCCCUGUGAAACUCUGUCCACGCACAGAUGAACUUUGCUCUAUGGGUCAGGAUCGCCCAUUUUGUAUUAUAUUCAUCCCUCCUGCCUCCAGACACGUCUCUCCUCUCUCCCCAGCUCCAGGACAGGCCCAGAGACAUCCGCUUCCAUGAGGAGCCAUCUUUGGGUGAGCCUCACUCUCCGGCUCCUUCUCGUUCUCAUGCCUCCAUGUCAGUGUUGGUGGGGAGAUCGCAGGCCUGAUACCCAAAGGCUGGAAGGCAUGGAGGGCACUCAGAUGCCUAGAUUUGUCUCCUGGCUCCCCGCUUAGAGCUGUGUGAGCUUAGGCAAGUUACUUAAUCUCUCUGGGCUUCAGUUUGCACAUUGGUAAAAUGGAUGUAAUGAGAAUUAGGACAAUUAAGACAAACAGAGCAUGCUUUCAACAGUGCCCAGCACAUGGGAAGUACUGG
rnacentral:lncRNA from 1 species